UCGACCGCCUGGGGAGUACGGCCGCAAGGUUAAAACUCAAAUGAAUUGACGGGGGCCCGCACAAGCGGUGGAGCAUGUGGUUUAAUUCGAUGCAACGCGAAGAACCUUACCUGGUCUUGACAUCCACAGAACUUUCCAGAGAUGGAUUGGUGCCUUCGGGAACUGUGAGACAGGUGCUGCAUGGCUGUCGUCAGCUCGUGUUGUGAAAUGUUGGGUUAAGUCCCGCAACGAGCGCAACCCUUAUCCUUUGUUGCCAGCGGUCCGGCCGGGAACUCA
rnacentral:rRNA from 1 species